rnacentral:rRNA from 1 species
AUUGAACGCUGGCGGCAUGCCUUACACAUGCAAGUCGAACGGCAGCAUGGAGAGCUUGCUCUCUGAUGGCGAGUGGCGAACGGGUGAGUAAUGCAUCGGAACGUACCGUGUCAUGGGGGAUAACGUAGCGAAAGUUACGCUAAUACCGCAUACGACCUGAGGGUGAAAGCAGGGGAUCGCAAGACCUUGCGUGAUACGAGCGGCCGAUGUCAGAUUAGCUAGUUGGUGAGGUAAAGGCUCACCAAGGAGACGAUCUGUAGCGGGUCUGAGAGGAUGCUCCGCCACACUGGGACUGAGACACGUCCCAGACUCCUACGGGAGGCAGCAGUGGGGAAUUUUGGACAAUGGGGGCAACCCUGAUCCAGCCAUGCCGCGUGAGUGAAGAAGGCCUUCGGGUUGUAAAGCUCUUUCGGCCGAGAAGAAAUCGCACAGGCUAAUACUCUGUGUGGAUGACGGUACCGGCAUAAGAAGCACCGGCUAACUACGUGCCAGCAGCCGCAGUAA